rnacentral:rRNA from 1 species
GCUUAACGCGAAGAACCUUACCCACCUUUGACAUCCCGUGCUACCUAGAGAGAUCUAGGGUCCCUUCGGGGCGCGGAGACAGGUGCUGCAUGGCUGUCGUCAGCUCGUGUCGUGAGAUGUUGGGUUAAGUCCCGCAACGAGCGCAACCCUCGCUUCUAGUUGCCAGCAUUUAGUUGGGCACUCUAGAGGAACUGCCUGCGCCAAGCAGGAGGAAGGCGGGGAUGACGUCAAGUCCUCAUGGCCCUUACAGGUGGGGCUACACACGUGCUACAAUGGCGGUGACAAAGGGAUAAUCCCUAAAAGCCGAUCUCAGUUCGGAUUGUAGUCUGCAACUCGACUACAUGAAGCUGGAAUCGCUAGUAAUCGCGUAUCAGCAACGACGCGGUGAAUACGUUCCCGGGUCUUGUACACACCG